GACAGAGGUCUCAAGCGUUGUUCGGAAUCACUGGGCUUAAAGGGAGCGUAGGCGGGCUAUCAAGUCUGGGGUGAAAUGCCACGGCUCAACCGUGGAACUGCCUCAGAUACUGACGGCCUCGAGGGAGAUAGGGGCAUGCGGAACUGUAGGUGGAGCGGUGAAAUGCGUUGAUAUCUACAGGAACUCCGGUGGCGAAAGCGGCGUGCUGGAUCUCUUCUGACGCUGAGGCUCGAAAGCUAGGGGAGCAAACGGG
rnacentral:rRNA from 1 species